GACGAACGCUGGCGGCGUGCUUAACACAUGCAAGUCGAACGGAAAGGCCCUGCUUUUGUGGGGUGCUCGAGUGGCGAACGGGUGAGUAACACGUGAGUAACCUGCCCUUGACUUUGGGAUAACUUCAGGAAACUGGGGCUAAUACCGGAUAGGAGCUCCUGCUGCAUGGGGGGGGUUGGAAAGUUUCGGCGGUUGGGGAUGGACUCGCGGCUUAUCAGCUUGUUGGUGGGGUAGUGGCUUACCAAGGCUUUGACGGGUAGCCGGCCUGAGAGGGUGACCGGCCACCUUGGGACUGAGAUACGGCCCAGACUCCUACGGGGGGCAGCAGUGGGGAAUAUUGCACAAUGGGCGCAAGCCUGAUGCAGCAGCGCCGCGUGCGGGAUGACGGCCUUCGGGUUGUAAACCGCUUUCGCCUGUGACGAAGCGUGAGUGACGGUAAUGGGUAAAGAAGCACCGGCUAACUACGUG
rnacentral:rRNA from 1 species